CCUACGGGUGGCAGCAGUGAGGAAUAUUGGGCAAUGGGCGCGAGCCUGAACCAGCCACGUAGCGUGAGGGAUGACUGCCCUACGAGUUGUAAACUUCUUUUGUAGAGGAGUAAGGUGACUCACGUGUUCCUUUUUGUAUGUACUUUAUGAGUAAGGGUCGGCUCACUCCGUGCCAGCCGACGCGGUAAUACGGAGGGGCCGGGCGGUAUGCGGAUUUGUUGGGUUUAAAGGGAAUGUAGAAGGGUUGUUAAGUCAGUUGUGAAAGUUUGCGGCUCAACGGGAAAAUUGCAAUUGAUACUGGCAGUCUGGAGUACAGUUGAGGAAGGUGGAAUUCGAGGUGUAGCGGUGAAAUCCGUAGAUAUCUGGAAGAACUCCGAUUGCGAAGGCAGCUAACUAAAAUGUAACCGACAUUGAGGAGCGAAAGUGUGGGUAGCAAACAGGAUUAGAUACCCUAGUAGUC
rnacentral:rRNA from 1 species